rnacentral:tRNA from 1 species
CAUUAAGUGACUGAAAGAAAGUAAUGGUCUCUUAAACCAAAACAUGGUAAGUAACGCCUACCCUUAAUG